UGGCAGCAGUGAGGAAUAUUGGUCAAUGGAGGCAACUCUGAACCAGCCAUGCCGCGUGAAGGAUGACGGCCCUAUGGGUUGUAAACUUCUUUUAUAUGGGAAGAAACUUAUCUACGUGUAGAUAACUGACGGUACCAUACGAAUAAGGAUCGGCUAACUCCGUGCCAGCAGCCGCGGUAAUACGGAGGAUCCAAGCGUUAUCCGGAUUCAUUGGGUUUAAAGGGUCCGUAGGCGGAUUUUUAAGUCAGUGGUGAAAGCCGGCAGCUCAACUGUCGAACUGCCAUUGAUACUGGAAAUCUUGAGUACAAAUGAAGUAGGCGGAAUGAGUCAUGUAGCGGUGAAAUGCAUAGAUAUGACUCAGAACACCGAUUGCGAAGGCAGCUUACUAACAUGUAACUGACGCUGAGGGACGAAAGCGUGGGGAGCGAACAGGAUUAGAUACCCUGGUAGUCCACGCCGUAAACGAUCAUCACUCGCUGUUGGCGAUAUACUGUCAGCGGCCAAGCGAAAGUAUUAAGUGAUGCACCUGGGGAGUACGCCGGCAACGGUGAAACUCAAAUGAAUUGACGGA
rnacentral:rRNA from 1 species